GAGAGAGAGAGAGAGAGAGAGAGAGAGAGAGAGAGAGGCGAAGGCGAAGGCGAGGGCGAGGGCGAAGGCGAAAGCGAGAGAGAGAAAGCUUCGACGAAGCAGCGGUCUGGUGACGAAACCCACCGCGAGCCAUCCCUUUUCUCUGUAGCAACGAAAACAGGGCAAAAAUCUGCACUGAUGAGCUACAUAAACCAAUGGAGGAUCCAGAUUCCAGACUGGCCAAGCUUUUGGAUAAAGCACACAAGUCUAAUUGAUGAGCUACAUAUACCAAUGGAGGAUUUCUGCAAAAUUUGGUCAACCAAAUGGGAUUAUGUGAUCCUUUGAAGUCGAAUACAAGUUGAUACCCUCCACGUGGAUUGUCGUUCGAAUUGAUGGCUUCCAUUUUCAUAGAUGGUGGAACCGGUGCUAAGGCAAGAUUUGGAUUUCAGUGGUGGUUAUGAAGCUUGUGUCUGCGAGGCACAUGGAUUCUAAUGGGCGUUACUUUGCUAUUAUUUUAUGUAAAUAUUUAUGAAUUGUGUAAGAUGUAGUUUAUUAUACCUGUGGGUUGAUGUCAUUGGGCUUGUACUAAUGUGUCUGACAUCUCAAAGAAUCACCAGUGAUAUGUAUUAUUUAUGAUUUUAUAUACGUACUCUAAUUUUAGUUGUGA